UGGGGGAUAUUGCACAAUGGGGGAAACCCUGAUGCAGCGACGCCGCGUGGAGGAAGAAGGUUUUCGGAUUGUAAACUCCUGUCGUUAGGGACGAUAAUGACGGUACCUAACAAGAAAGCACCGGCUAACUACGUGCCAGCAGCCGCGGUAAAACGUAGGGUGCAAGCGUUAAUCGGAAUAACUGGGCGUAAAGGGCAUGCAGGCGGUUAUACAAGUAGGAUGUGAAAGCCUGGGGCUCAACCUCAGAACUGCAUUCUAAACUGUGUGACUAGAGUAUUGCAGGGGGAGACGGAAUUUCAGGUGUAGCGGUGGAAUGCGUAGAUAUCUGAAAGAACACCAAAGGCGAAGGCAGUCUCCUGGGCAAAUACUGACGCUCAUAUGCGAAAGCGUGGGUAGC
rnacentral:rRNA from 1 species